rnacentral:lncRNA from 1 species
AAUCCUCGAUCAACUCACGACCAAGCUUCACUAUCAAUUCCUCUGGUUUGGACUCACUCUGCCACUCUCACGUUACGCUCACCCCAGAGUUCUUCUCGUCCUUUCUCUUGCUCAAAUACUCUCUUUCUCUUGAGGUAUAAAUCUUCGCGUCAAUUAGGUACUUAGGUUCGAUUUGGCUUGGAUUUUCCUUCAAGACCCUCGUCAUGAAAUCAUCCUUUUCGGUAGCCCCGCCGGGCUGCGAAUUGGAGGAGGAGCUGGAAUUCACCUUGCACAGAGCUGUGAAUGAUCUGUGCAGCAAAGGACGCGCCCUCUGGUGGAAGUUCCGAUUGCAUUUGAAGGAAUUCUUGUAGGGUUUAGGGAGAUGAACCCUAGAAGUGAAGAGAGUGUCAAUGCUGGUCAUUGUUUCAGUGCAUGAGUCUUGUUGGUUUCAAGAUUGUAAUUCCUUAGUUUUAUGUUGAUAUCCCACAGGCUCUCAUACCGCAGAACUAUUGAUCAAGAUGUUACUGCAUAUACUUAGUAAGCUGCCUCAAGAUU